rnacentral:rRNA from 1 species
CACGUAGGGGGCAAGCGUUGUCCGGAUUUAUUGGGCGUAAAGAGCUCGUAGGCUGUUCGGUAAGUCGGGUGUGAAACCCCCAGGCUCAACCUGGGGACGCCACCUGAUACUGCUGUGACUCGAGUCCGGUAGGGGAGCGUGGAAUUCCUGGUGUAGCGGUGAAAUGCGCAGAUAUCAGGAGGAACACCAGCGGCGAAGGCGGCGCUCUGGGCCGGUACUGACGCUGAGGAGCGAAAGCGUGGAUAGCAAACAGG